rnacentral:rRNA from 1 species
GAUGAACGCUGGCGGCGUGCCUAAUACAUGCAAGUCGUGCGAGAUCUUCGGAUCUAGCGGCGAACGGGUGAGUAACACGUGGGCAACCUGCCCCUAAGACUGGGAUAACUCCGAGAAAUCGGAGCUAAUACCGGAUAACCUUUUUCCACGCAUGUGGAAAAAGUAAAAGGCUUUGUGCCACUUUAGGGGAUGGGCCCGCGGCGCAUUAGCUAGUUGGUGAGGUAACGGCUCACCAAGGCGACGAUGCGUAGCCGACCUGAGAGGGUGAUCGGCCACACUGGGACUGAGACACGGCCCAGACUCCUACGGGAGGCAG